GUUUUAUCCUGCAAUCUGUGAACCAGUUUAGUAGCCCUUCUCUGAACCCUCUCUAAAGUAUCAAUAUCCUUCUGGACCUACAGUCUCCAGUACUGCGUGAGGCCUCACCAGUGUUCUGUACAAUGGCAUGAGCUUCUUUCUCAUGCCAAUACCACUCGCUAUACAACUAAGCAUUCUGCUAGCAUUUCCUGCUGCUCUAUUACAUUAUCUGCCUACCUUUAAGUCAUCAGAAAUAAUUACCCCUUAAUCCCUU